rnacentral:rRNA from 1 species
ACAGGGGGAUAACAGUUGGAAACGGCUGCUAAUACCGCAUAAGCGCACAGCAUCGCAUGAUGCAGUGUGAAAAACUCCGGUGGUAUAAGAUGGACCCGCGUUGGAUUAGCUAGUUGGUGAGGUAACGGCCCACCAAGGCGACGAUCCAUAGCCGACCUGAGAGGGUGACCGGCCUCUUCGGGACUGAGACACGGCCCAAACUCCUACGGGAGGCAGCAGUGGGGAAUAUUGCACAAUGGGCGAAAGCCUGAUGCAGCGACGCCGCGUGAGCGAAGAAGUAUUUCGGUAUGUAAAGCUCUAUCAGCAGGGAAGAUAAUGACGGUACCUGACUAAGAAGCACCGGCUAAAUACGUGCCAGCAGCCGCGGUAAUACGUAUGGUGCAAGCGUUAUCCGGAUUUACUGGGUGUAAAGGGAGCGCAGGCGGUGCGGCAAGUCUGAUGUGAAAGCCCGGGGCUCAACCCCGGUACUGCAUUGGAAACUGUCGUACUAGAGUGUCGGAGGGGUAAGCGGAAUUCCUAGUGUAGCGGUGAAAUGCGUAGAUAUUAGGAGGAACACCAGUGGCGAAGGCGGCUUACUGGACGAUAACUGACGCUGAGGCUCGAAAGCGUGGGGAGCAAACAGGAUUAGAUACCCUGGUAGUCCACGCCGUAAACGA